rnacentral:rRNA from 1 species
GACGGAGGAUGCAAGUGUUAUCCGGAAUCACUGGGCGUAGAGCGUCUGUAGGUGGUUUAAAAAGUCUGCUGUUAAAAAUUGAAGCUUAACUUCAAAGGUGCUGUAGAAACUUUUAAACUUGAGGAUGGUAGGGGUAGAGGGAAUUUCCAGUGGAGCGGUGAAAUGCGUAGAUCUUGGAAAGAACACCAAUGGCGAAGGCACUCUACUGGGCCAUGACUGACACUGAGAGACGAAAGCUAGGGGAGCAAAUGGG